GGGCGUGUAGUAUAGGGGUUAUUGCGCUUGCUUCGCAUCAUCACGUGAUCCAACGCUGCGAGAGGUCUUGGGUUCGAUUCCCAACUCGUCCA